rnacentral:rRNA from 1 species
AUAGGCAAUUAUUCCUGUAAUGGUUUUUUGUUUAAUGUUUUUUCGCCUAAGGAUGGGUCUGCGGCCGAUUAGGUAGUUGGUUAGGUAAUGGCUUACCAAGCCUUUGAUCGGUACGGGUUGUGAGAGCAAGAGCCCGGAGAUGGAACCUGAGACAAGGUUCCAGGCCCUACGGGGUGCAGCAGGCGCGAAACCUCCGCAAUGUGAGAAAUCGCGACGGGGGGAUCCCAAGUGCCAUUCUUAACGGGAUGGCUUUUCAUUAGUGUAAAGAGCUUUUGGAAUAAGAGCUGGGCAAGACCGGUGCCAGCCGCCGCGGUAACACCGGCAGCUCUAGUGGUAGCAGUUUUUAUUGGGCCUAAAGCGUCCGUAGCCGGUUUAAUAAGUCUCUGGUGAAAUCCUGCAGCUUAACUGUGGGAAUUGCUGGAGAUACUAUUAGACUUGAGAUCGGGAGAGGUUAGAGGUACUCCCAGGGUAGAGGUGAAAUUCUGUAAUCCUGGGAGGACCGCCUGUUGCGAAGGCGUCUGACUGGAACGAUUCUGACGGUGAGGGACGAAAGCUAGGGGCGCGAACCGGAUUAGAUACCCGGGUAGUCCUAGCUGUAAACGAUGCGGACUUGGUGUUGGGUGGCUUU